GACGAACGCUGGCGGCGUGCCUAAUACAUGCAAGUAGGACGCAGUUGCGAACGGGUGAGUAACGCGUAGGUAACUGGAUAUUAGAGGGUGAUAACUAUUGGAAACGAUAGCUAAUACCGCAUACUAGUAGAUGGACCUGCGUUGUAUUGGCUAGUAGGUAGUGUAAUGGCCUACCUAGGCAAAGAUACAUAGCCGACCUGAGAGGGUGAUCGGGCACAAUGGGACUGAGACACGGCCCAAACUCCUACGGGAGGCAUCAGGUGGGAAUCUUCGGCAAUGGGGGGAACCCUGACCGAGCAACGCCGCGUGAGUGGAGAAGGUUUUCGGAUCGUAAAGCUCUGUUGUUACGGAAGCGGUACUUAACCAGAAAGGGACGGCUAACUACGUGCCAGCCGCCGCGGUAAUUC
rnacentral:rRNA from 1 species